UACGUAGGGGGCUAGCGUUGUCCGGAAUCAUUGGGCGUAAAGAGCGUGUAGGCGGCCCGGUAAGUCCGCUGUAAAAGUCAAAGGCUCAACCUUUGAAUGUCAGUGGAUACUGCCGGGCUAGAGUGCGGAAGAGACGAGUGGAAUUCCUGGUGUAGCGGUGAAAUGCGCAGAUAUCAGGAGGAACACCUAUUGCGAAGGCAGCUCGCUGGGACGUAACUGACGCUGAGACGCGAAAGCGUGGGGAGCGAACAGG
rnacentral:rRNA from 1 species